rnacentral:rRNA from 1 species
GGCGNUCUGCUGGAACUUAACUGACGCUAAUGCGUGAAAGCGUGGGGAGCAAACAGGAUUAGAUACCCUGGUAGUCCACGCCCUAAACGAUGUAUACCGGUUGUUGCUGUGCUAGUCACGGCAGUAAUCCACCUAACGGAUUAAGUAUACCGCCUGGGGAGUACGGUCGCAAGAUUAAAACUCAAAGGAAUAGACGGGGACCCGCACAAGCGGUGGAGCAUGUGGUUUAAUUCGAAGAUACGCGAAGAACCUUACCCGGACUUGAUAUCUAACAAAUCAUCCAGAGAUGGAAGAGUGUCUGCUUGCAGAAAUGUUAAGACAGGUGCUGCACGGCUGUCGUCAGCUCGUGUCGUGAGGUGUUGGGUUAAGUCCCGCAACGAGCGCAACCCACGUCAUUAGUUGCUAACGGUUCGGCCGAGCACUCUAAUGAGACUGCCUUCGUAAGGAGGAGGAAGGUGUGGACAACGUCAAGUCAUCAUGGCCCUUAUGUCCGGGGCGACACACGUGCUACAAUGGCAUAUACAAUAAGACGCAAUAUCGUAAGAUGGAGCAAAUCUAAAAAAUAUGUCCCAGUUCGGAUUGGAGUCUGCAACUCGACUCCAUGAAGCCGGAAUCGCUAGUAAUCGUAGAUCAGCCAUGCUACGGUGAAUACGUUCCCGGGUCUUGUACUCACCGCCCGUCACACCAUGGGAGUUGAUUUC